rnacentral:rRNA from 1 species
UACGUAGGAUGCAAGCGUUGUCCGGAAUUAUUGGGCGUAAAGAGCGCGCAGGCGGUAUGACAAGUCAGAUGUGAAAGAGGCCGGCUUAACCGGCAAGGGUCAUUUGAAACUGUCAGACUAGAGUGCAGCAGAGGAUAGUGGAAUUCCCGGUGUAGUGGUGAAAUGCGUAGAUAUCGGGAGGAACACCAGUAGCGAAGGCGGCACUCUGGGCCGGAACUGACGCUGAGGAGCGAAAGCGUGGGUAGCAAACAGG